AGACUUACCCGGCAGGGGAGAUACCCUGAUCACGAAGGUGGUUUUCCCAGAGCAAGGCUUAUCCACUGCACUCCAGAUGUGCUGACCCCUAUAAUUUCCCCAAAUGUGGGAAACUCGACUGCACAGUUUAUGGUAGUGGGGGACUACGUUCUCACUCUCUCCUA